CCCGACGCUCGCGGCGGCCCCGCCCCGGCCCGGCUCGCCCCGCCGCGCCUGGGGAGCAGCGGGACUACAUUUCCCGCCGGCCCCAGAGCGACGGGGCGGGUACAAAGCGGGCGGGGCCUGCCCGGCAGGUGAGCGCCCGCAGGCUGGCCUGGGAGCCACGAUGCCUUUCCCCAGCUCCAGCACAGAUGAUGCCUUUGACUACCUCUUCAAGAUUAUCCUGAUCGGAGACUCCAACGUGGGGAAGACCUGCGUGGUUCACCGCUUCAAGACGGGACAGUACAACGAGAAGCAGCAGAACACCAUUGGCGUUGACUUCACUGUGCGCUCCAUGGAUAUCGAUGGCAAGAAAGUGAAGAUACAGGUGUGGGACACAGCUGGUCAAGAACGCUUCCGGACAAUAACCCAGUCUUAUUAUAGGAGUGCCCAUGGGGCCAUCCUUGCCUAUGACCUUACUAGGAGGUCCACGUUUGAAUCCAUUCCUCACUGGAUUCAUGAAAUUGAAAAGUAUGGUGCUGCAAACUUGGUCAUGAUGUUAAUUGGGAACAAAUCGGAUUCAUUGGAUAAGCGUCAAGUCCUGUUUGAAGAUGCCUGCACACUAGCAGAGAAGCACGGGCUCUUAGCUGUACUGGAGACAUCAGCAAAAGAAGCUCAAAACAUAGAAGAGGUGUUCACGUUAAUGGCUAAAGAGCUAAUAGCCCGAAAUACCUUACAGCUUCAUGGAGAGAACCCUCCAAACAGCAUCUAUCUUGAUUCCAGGCCAGUGAUUGCCUCCCCCAGUGUGGAGAAGACCCAGUGCCUCUGUUGAAGAGAGAUUUCGGGAAGAAUUUGGAAGUCAUUAUUCUUCUGAGGCUGCUUGACAUAAUUUUAUUCAGUUGAUGCAAGUGUGCUAUGUGGCCUCAAGCCAUCUCUCUUCAUAUCUUUACCUUGCAGUUUGGCUUUCCACCUGUACCAAAGUGCAUCACUUGGGUAGUUACUGUUAAGCCUGGAACUGGAACUCGCACUCUGUAAUGAUAAAAUACAGUCUGGGUUACAGGCAAAGAAGCCCUGGGAAGACUGGCAAGCUGCUAGCUGACCCAAGGGCAGUCUACCCGUCUUUCACAAGUUCUUGACAAGUAGGGAAAACACAUACAACAAGUAUUUCUGGAAAACCUCUUCUGAGAAGCACAAAAAAUAAAGCAGAACGAAAUGUUGAUUUUUAGUCUCACAAAUAUUUCUAACAUUACUAUUGCUCCCUCUAGCCAGGUUUUUUGCUAUCACUUACGAAGAACUGGGCUUAAUUCACUUAUGUGUAAACUGAGGGAGAAAUCUUCAAUGGUAGCUUCAAAUCCUUCUGCUCUAGCCUGCUGUAGAGAAAGCUUCAUCUUCUUCAGGCGUCCUUUUUCUGAUCUGUUUACUUUUUAAAUCUUCAUCUUGAUUUGCUAGUAGCCCAGCAGUUGCACUUCAGUUUGUGUAGUUAAGCAACAGUAAACACCACAGCCUUUCCAAGUGGCUGAACAAGUAGCAGUCUAGCUUCCAAACAACUAGUUUCUACCCCUCUUUGCACUAGGAAAACAGCCAUAUAUAAAUGUUCUUGUGUGUUUGAAGCCCAAACUACUCCCAGUAGUAGUUUGUAAUGUAGCAGUUAUGUUUUUUACUAGUAUCCACACUUGAACCACCAGCAAACUUUGUUCUAUUUCAGGCAUACCAGAGAUGGUGUUUCCAGCAAACACUAAUCUUUCAGGAGGCCUUAAUGUGUGUUUAUCUCCAGUUACAAGCUUUCAAUAGGCAAGAAUUAGAGGAUCUUACCAGCAGAAUAUUAAACUUUGUAUGGCUUACUUGGUUUACUGCCUUAAUGAGAGAUUACUGUACAAAAUAAUUUUGCUUACCCUCAGUGUGAAGGCUGCUGUUCCCUCAACUGCCCAGCACUGCCAGGUUAUAGGGCUCUUGCUGUUCUCUUUGAGCACACACGGAGCUACUUGCAGAAUAAGCUCUUCCUUGGGAGAAGGCUGUGCAACAUUGGGAUCAUGGAGAACAGGUUUGUGAUUGUGCUUUAUGCUGCACCGUUCCCUCUCCUUUAGCAGGUGUAACAGGCUCCUUACUGCUCUUUCAAGAACCUACUCUUAAAUACCUGUUCUUUGUGCAACUCAGCCAGGACUGUGACCUCUUCUGAUUGGUUCUGUUUGGCAUCUUCCAUGAGCCCUUUGGGCAGUUACACCAAACAGCUUCCACAGGGUCAUUUUUUUUAAGCUGUCCUCGUGUGAAUGAAGAGCAAGCUGCAGCAGGUGCAGCUGAAGAAGGUUUUUCAGAGUGUAUAUUAGCAGGCAGUGUUAUUCAUGAGGUAACAUG